ACGCGGUUAGUAGCAAUACUAACUGAGUGGCGAACGGGUGAGUAACACGUGGGUGACCUACCUCCGAGUGGGGGAUAACGUCCCGAAAGGGACGCUAAUACCGCAUGAUAUCCUGCCUUUGAACAGGUGGAGAUCAAAGCCGGGGAUCGCAAGACCUGGCGCUUGAAGAGGGGCCCGCGUCCGAUUAGCUAGUUGGUGAGGUAACGGCUCACCAAGGCGACGAUCGGUAUCCGGCCUGAGAGGGCGGACGGACACACUGGGACUGAGACACGGCCCAGACUCCUACGGGAGGCAGCAGUGGGGAAUUGUUCGCAAUGGGCGCAAGCCUGACGACGCAACGCCGCGUGGAGGAUGAAGGUCUUCGGAUUGUAAACUCCUGUUGCCAGGGACGAAUAGCUCCGACCUAACACGUCGGAGUAUGACGGUACCUGGUGAGGAAGCCCCGGCUAACUCUGUGCCAGCAGCCGCGGUAAUACAGAGGGGGCAAGCGUUGUUCGGAAUUACUGGGCGUAAAGGGCGCGUAGGCGGCCCGCUAAGUCGAACGUGAAAUCCCCGGGCUUAACCCGGGAACUGCGUCCGAUACUGGUAGGCUUGAAUCCGGGAGAGGGAUGUGGAAUUCCAGGUGUAGCGGUGAAAUGCGUAGAUAUCUGGAGGAACACCGGUGGCGAAGGCGGCAUCCUGGACCGGUAUUGACGCUGAGGCGCGAAAGCUAGGGUAGCAAACGGGAUUAGAUACCCCGGUAGUCCUAGCCCUAAACGAUGAAUGCUUGGUGUGGCGGGUAUCGAUCCCUGCCGUGCCGAAGCUAACGCAUUAAGCAUUCCGCCU
rnacentral:rRNA from 1 species